rnacentral:tRNA from 1 species
GAAAUAAGUAAAUCAAGAUAAAGCUUCUAACUUCAAUCUUAAGCAGUAAAACUGUUUUUAUUUCU